UGGAUCGUUAGCUCAGCUGGCAGAGCAGGGGACUCUUAAUCCCAAGGUCCAGGGUUCGAACCCCUGACGAUCCACCAG
rnacentral:tRNA from 1 species